UACGUAGGGCGCAAGCGUUGUCCGGAAUUAUUGGGCGUAAAGAGCUCGUAGGCGGCCUGUUGCGUCCGCUGUGAAAUCCCGGGGCUCAACCCCGGGCCUGCAGUGGAUACGGGCUGGCUGGAGGCAGGCAGGGGAGAACGGAAUUCCUGGUGUAGCGGUGAAAUGCGCAGAUAUCAGGAGGAACACCGGUGGCGAAGGCGGUUCUCUGGGCCUGUUCUGACGCUGAGGAGCGAAAAGCGUGGGGGAGCGAACAGG
rnacentral:rRNA from 1 species